rnacentral:misc_RNA from 1 species
GAUGAAGAACGUAGCGAAAUGCGAUAAGUAAUGCGAAUUGCAGAAUCUCCGUGAGUCAUCGAAUCUUUGAACGCACAUUGCGCCCCUUGGUAUUCCAUGGGGCAUGCCUGUUCGAGCGUCAUUUGUACCUUCAAGCUCUGCUUGGUGUUGGGUGUUUGUCUCGCCUCUGCGUGUAGACUCGCCUCAAAACAAUUGGCAGCCGGCGUAUUGAUUUCGGAGCGCAGUACAUCUCGCGCUUUGCACUCAUAACGACGACGUCCAAAAGUACAUUUUUACACUCUUGACCUCGGAUCAGGUAGGGAUACCCGCUGAACUUAAGCAUAUCAAUAAGCGGAGGA